rnacentral:rRNA from 13 species
GGGGAAAGAUUUAUCGGAGAAGGAUCGGCCCGCGUUAGAUUAGAUAGUUGGUGGGGUAAUGGCCUACCAAGUCUACGAUCUAUAGCUGGUUUUAGAGGAUGAUCAGCAACACUGGGACUGAGACACGGCCCAGACUCCUACGGGAGGCAGCAGUGAGGAAUAUUGCGCAAUGGACGAAAGUCUGACGCAGCCAUGCCGCGUGCAGGAAGAAUGCCCUACGGGUUGUAAACUGCUUUUGUACAGGAAGAAACCCCCGCUCGUGAGCGGGGCUGACGGUACUGUACGAAUAAGCACCGGCUAACUCCGUGCCAGCAGCCGCGGUAAUACGGAGGGGGUUAGCGUUGUUCGGAAUUACUGGGCGUAAAGCGCACGUAGGCGGACUUUUAAGUCAGAUGUGAAAUCCCGAGGCUCAACCUCGGAACUGCAUUUGAAACUGGGAGUCUAGAGAUCAGGAGAGGUUAGUGGAAUACCGAGUGUAGAGGUGAAAUUCGUAGAUAUUCGGAGGAACACCAGUGGCGAAGGCGGCUCACUGGCUCGAUACUGACGCUGAGGUACGAAAGUGUGGGGAGCAAACAGGAUUAGAUACCCUGGUAGUCCACACCGUAAACGAUG